rnacentral:rRNA from 1 species
GACGAACGCUGGCGGCGUGCUUAACACAUGCAAGUCGAACGCUGAAGCUCAGCUUUUGUUGGGUGGAUGAGUGGCGAACGGGUGAGUAACACGUGAGUAACCUGCCUCCUUCUUUGGAUAACGCCCGGAAACGGGUGCUAAUACUGGAUAUUCACUGGUCUUCGCAUGGGGGUUGGUGGAAAGGGUUUUUCUGGUGGGGGAUGGGCUCGCGGCCUAUCAGCUUGUUGGUGGGGUGAUGGCCUACCAAGGCUUUGACGGGUAGCCGGCCUGAGAGGGUGACCGGUCACAUUGGGACUGAGAUACGGCCCAGACUCCUACGGGAGGCAGCAGUGGGGAAUAUUGCACAAUGGGCGCAAGCCUGAUGCAGCGACGCCGCGUGAGGGAUGGAGGCCUUAGGGUUGUGAACCUCUUUCGCUCAUGGUCAAGCCGCAACAAUGGUUGUGGUGAGGGUAGUGGGUAAAGAAGCGCCGGCUAACUACGUG